AUGGAUACUAACCAACAUGAAGUGCCUCAGCAAAAACAGGUUUCAGUUGACCAGGAGAUUGUUGAGGCUAAUUCUGAUGUCAACAUGUUCUCUGUGGUAAAGCGUUCCAGGUCAAGGCAGCGGCAUAUUGAAGAUCGCUCGCGUGAGAAGGGUCAAGCUACAAAUAGUGGAACCAGUGAUGUUAUGCAAGACAGGAUGCAGAGGUCUGAACUUGCAACUGCAGGUUCGAACGAAACAACUGCAUCAUUAUCCUCCAAACCAUGUGGUGAUGGUGAAAACAAUGCUGGAACAAUGGCCUCUUUGCCAGGUCAGGAGAAAGGUUUUUAUGCCAACCAGGAUAGAUCAACUGAAUUCGUCAAGUGCAGUAAAGAUGGUGAUCUUGGAAAUCAAGGAGUUCAGUUAGAUUGUUCUCAAAACCAGAUUGUCAGUUAUGAUAAUAAUGUCAAGGUUUCUGUUAGAAGUUCUUUUGAAGUGCAAGUUACAAGCAGUGUGUGCCAUGCACUCCCUGAAACUUAUCUGUCGGUUGAGCCAAAAAAACUUCAAUUUGAUGGUGUUGAAUCAGUUUGCAUGAAUUCUGCAAGUGAACAGACGAUGCAGCAACCAGUAUGUGCUCUGGAAGGUGCCAAUCUUGAUCUUGCUGAGGCACAUCCCUUAAACGAAGACCCAUCUUCUACCAGCUAUUCUCAAGUUCCUCGUUCUACGGGCAGAUUAUUGCUUGAUGGUGUGGAAUCAGGAUAUUUGAACCCUGACAGUGCACCAGUGAAGCAGCAGCAGAAAAGUGCUUUGGAAUGUGCCAUUCUUGAUCUUACUGGCGUGCAUUCCGGAAAGGAGGACCAAUCUCCGACCACUUUACUUGAAGUACCUAAUCCUACCGGCAUACUAUUGGUUGAAAGGGAUACACUGCACACUGCAGAAGAUACUGAAAGACUAACGAGACCUGACAGUUCUUCACAUCGGAUCAUCACUCGGAGUUCUGUGUCUUUUGAACAACAGUGCUCUGAUUCUCAUGUUUCACAUCCUCCAUACAGUGAAACUUUGCAGUCACCUACCCAACUAGGUGAUACUAUUUUUGGGGCUCCUGCAUCAUCACAAAUAUUGCCGGACAGUCUGUUAGAGGAGGCCGACAGUGAGGACCUCUCACAUUCACCUGUAAUUGAGGUGGAUAACCAAUGCUCCCAAUUGGAGUCCACUGAAUGUCCAGAGCAGCUUCAACUUCAGACUGUAGAAGAUACUGAAAGAAUAAUGAGACCUGACAGUUCUUCAGAUCAGNNNNNNNNNNNNNNNNNNNNNNNNNNNNNNNNNNNNNNNNNNNNNNNNNNNNNNNNNNNNNNNNNNNNNNNNNNNNNNNNNNNNNNNNNNNNNNNNNNNNNNNNNNNNNNNNNNNNNNNNNNNNNNNNNNNNNNNNNNNNNNNNNNNNNNNNNNNNNNNNNNNNNNNNNNNNNNNNNNNNNNNNNNNNNNNNNNNNNNNNNNNNNNNNNNNNNNNNNNNCACUUGGAGUCCGCUGAAUGUCCAGAGCAGGUUCAAUCUCAGACUAUAGAAGAUACUGAAAGAAUGACGAGACCUGACAGUUCUUCAGAUCGGAUCAUCACUCGGAGUUCUGUGUCUUUCGAACAACAGUGCUCUGAUUCUCAUGUUUCACAUCCUCCAUACAGUGAAACUCUGCAGUCACCUACCCAACUAGCUGAUACUAGUUUUGGGGUUCAUGCGUCAUCACAAAUAUUGCUGGGCAGUCUGUUAGAGAAGGCCGAUAGUGAGGACCUCUCACAUUUACCUGUAAAUGAUGUGGAUAACCACGGCUCCCAAUUGGAGUCUGCUGAAUGCCCUGAGCAGCUUCAACCUCAGACUAGUCCUUUGGGUGACGCUUAUAAAACAAGCCUCUCUCCUUAUGAAAUACAAAGUAAUGACACACAUUCCAAUGGUUGUGCUGUUGUAAAUGUCUCUGUAUCUGAAGAAAAUCACUUAUCUCAGGAGCAACAUUUGUUGGCCAGAACAUCUUUAGAAUUCAAGGAGACCGAUGUGGAGACUCCCUUUGGCCAUGCUUCCCCAGUCACACAAAACGAGACACUCAAUGUGAAGGCAGCAUAUGAUGGGGUCAACUGCCGUUCAGGAAAGUUGGAUGAUGUUCAGGUAAAAUUGUCAGCUUUGACCAAAGCAUGCAACAUUUCUGUCAGCAACAAAAAAGACGAGUGUGCAGUGCCAGAAGUUAUGAGCAGUGCUUCAGCUAGGAGAACCGGCGAAAUGCACUCAACUGAAAGGAACAGUAUGACUUCGGCCGAAGAUCUGCAACAAAAUGGAACAGAACAAAAGACCUCUUUUCUUGAGAAUGCUGUUAAAGAAAAUGUUAAUUCAUGUACAGCAGAAAACGAUAAACGGAAAUUUUCACAACCUUCUGUUCAGUACCUCUUACGUAGUGCAGCAUCACAUGAGAAAAUUAAUCUGCUCAAGUCAGACAGAAGCAGUGCUGCUUGUGACCAGAAGAGGUCUGUUCAAGAUGGAGUUAAAGGAAAUGAUAGUUUGUCAUCUAAAAGGAGAAGAAUAAGGCGCCGAUCAGACUUUGACCUUUCCAGGACAUCUUGCACAAAUUCAUUGUCUCUGAACCACCAAGUUGACAUUGCUGGUCCUAUGUUGACUGCGACAAAUUUCUCAGAGAAAUCCCAUCCUUCGAGUCCUUACUUCUCAAGGAGUUCAGGAUCCUGCAAGAGCAUGUCUCUGGCAUCAGAGGGGGGAAAUGCUGCAAGUGAUGUUUAUGGAAAUGGGAAUUCUUCACGGGGAAGAAGAAACGCAACUAGCCUAUUAAAUGUUGUCCUUGAUAACUCUCCUACUGCAAGCACCAGCAGGAGAGCAUUGGAGGGAAGGAUCUUCAAAACUUCUCAAGAACAGAAACAAAAUAAGUUGGAAGUUGACUUUCUGACAACGACUGCUGCUUUGCCUUAUUGCUCUGGCAUCCUAUCUCAUAACGAGGAAAACUGCACACAACAGGAAGGUACUUGCUUAGAAGGUCAAGACCUAAAUGUCACUGCUGCAAGUGUGGCAGACCAGGAAAUGGCUCUUGAGACGGAUAACUUAUCAUCUCCAAUUGCAAUAUUAAAUCAAGAAAAUUAUUCUGGAACGGAACCAUUUACUCAAUUCCCAAGUUAUGCUUUAGAUCAACAUGGUGAACAAGCAUCUGCUCCGAAUGCACUGUUUCAUGGGAAAUUAUGUUAUGGAUCCAAUGUUAAACGUGGUAGGAUAUAUAAAAGUUAUGAUCCAAAGGGACAUUUGCUGCCUGGUGCUGCUAUUUCAAUGCCAGUAUUCGAGAGAUUUGAUGUUCCUGGCCAAUUUGACAGCCCAAUUAUCGGAAAAAGGUCAUUUGAGUCCCUUCACGAUUCUUGCCAAUUAGGCACCAUCAGCUCAGGUCCUCCAAACAAGUAUAAUACCAACACAGCGAGUAGUUUGCAUCAGCUAUUGACAACUAUGUCACCAAGAAAAAGUCGCAGCGUUAUGGGCUCUUUUGGAUAUGGAUCGGAACUUGAUUCGUUUUUCAUUUCUGAUGACGUAGCCUCGUGCUCUUCAAAUGCUAGCAGCAGACAAGAGAUUAAUGAAACUCCGUUGACUCCGUCAGUUGAAAAAUAUAGCCUCCAGAAAAUUUCAUCAAGAUGUGGAUCUGGUUCAGAACAUAUGGAUUCUAUUCCUGAACUUAAAAUCUUCCGAAUUGAUGAAGAUAACAGUAUUCUGGAAGAAGAUGAGUACCAAGACAUGGCUCCUGGAUCUGUGGAUGUGAAUUACUCAUGCCAGCGGUCCUCUGAGAGAACAGCACUUCAGGAUAUUACCGGAUUAUGUCAAAACAAUGGAAAUUCUCCAUCUCUUUCGAUGAGAUGCAUGGAUAAAGAUAAAGGUAACAGCAUAGGCUUGAGUGCAGAAUCUGUCAGUCGUGAGCUCACUCAUCAUUCAAAUAUAAAAAAUGAUAGCAUUAAGAGAAAAUACAAUCACCCUACUUCAGUUAAGAGAGAAGGGAAAGCAUCCCGUUCUCUUCAUGGCAGAUUAGGUACGACAGAAAUAAUCAGUAGCACAAAUGGAAGACACAGGAGUGAAGCAAAUGUUGACAAACAAGGCACGGCAGAACUAAAGAGCAGAAAUGGAAGACACAGGAGUGAAGCCAAUGUUGAUAGACAAUCUAAGCCUAGCAAUAUUGUUUCCAAUGUGACAUCUUUUGUACCUCUUGUAAAACAAAAGUUGCAAUCUACAACAGUGUGCGUUAAAAAAGAUGUUAAGGUGAAGGCUCUUAAGGCAGCUGAAGCUGCAAAACGUCUUGAAGAGAAGAAACAAAAAGAGCAAGAAAAACGCAAAGCGGCUGCAAAAGCAGAGCGUGAAAGACUGAAGCAAGAGAAGGAAUUAAAACAAAAACUUGAAGAGGAGCAAAAGAAAAAACGAGAAGUUGAUGCGGCCGCUAAGAAGCGGCAGAGGGAAGAAGGAGAAAAGCGGGAAACAAUGAAAAAAAGAAAAUGCAUGGAUGAAGCUCGAAAGCAACAGAAGCAGCCUAUGGAUAAACAACGAGGCAUGAAGGAUGAGAAAGAUGCUCGUCAAAAAGCUUCUGAUAAUAUGGAGCCAAGGAAGAAUUUGGUUGAUGUAGGCAAAAGCCAAGUUAAAUCUGACGAGGCUACUGAACAUGCCCUUCGAUACAAGGCCAAUGAAAGUAAGGAUGAGAAAGGUGUUGCAGUAGAUGACAGGAAUGCAAGUUUUGGAUCUGAUGCUAAGGAAAAUAUCCUGAACAGUCUUGAGGAGUCCUACACAAUGACUCCGUAUAAAGAUUCUGAUGAUGAGGAUGAUGAUGAUUAUGACGAACAUGAACAAGAAGCAAGGCGCAGAAGGAAAUUUGUUCCUUCUUGGGCUCGAAAAGAAAACUUGGAUAAUAUCUUACUAUCCAAUAAAACAUUAGACCCUAGAGAAAUAUUUGCACGGAAGCUGUCCUUCAACAUACCUGAAGUCCUUUCGGCGCCCGUUCCUCAGCGCGGCUUAAGAUAG
rnacentral:rRNA from 1 species